ACUCGACUAGGCGAGUAUAAACAGGUGUCAAGCCUAGUGCGUUACCCACUCAAAAAGAGUGGGUAGGUCACA
rnacentral:ribozyme from 1 species